GAUGAACGCUGGCGGCGUGCCUAAUACAUGCAAGUCGAGCGAACAGAUAAGGAGCUUGCUCCUUUGACGUUAGCGGCGGACGGGUGAGUAACACGUGGGUAACCUACCUAUAAGACUGGGAUAACUUCGGGAAACCGGAGCUAAUACCGGAUAACAUUUGGAACCGCAUGGUUCUGAAGUGAAAGAUGGUUUUGCUAUCACUUAUAGAUGGACCCGCGCCGUAUUAGCUAGUUGGUAAGGUAACGGCUUACCAAGGCAACGAUACGUAGCCGACCUGAGAGGGUGAUCGGCCACACUGGAACUGAGACACGGUCCAGACUCCUACGGGAGGCAGCAGUAGGGAAUCUUCCGCAAUGGGCGAAAGCCUGACGGAGCAACGCCGCGUGAGUGAUGAAGGGUUUCGGCUCGUAAAACUCUGUUAUUAGGGAAGAACAAAUGUGUAAGUAACUGUGCACGUCUUGACGGUACCUAAUCAGAAAGCCACGGCUAACUACGUG
rnacentral:rRNA from 1 species